CUACGGGGGGCACCAGUGAGGAAUAUUGGUCAAUGGGCGCAAGCCUGAACCAGCCAUGCCGCGUGAAGGAUGACGGCCCUAUGGGUUGUAAACUUCUUUUAUACGGGAAGAAACGCCUCUACGUGUAGAGGUUUGACGGUACCGUACGAAUAAGCAUCGGCUAACUCCGUGCCAGCAGCCGCGGUAAUACGGAGGAUGCAAGCGUUAUCCGGAUUUAUUGGGUUUAAAGGGUACGUAGGCGGAAGAUUAAGUCAGUAGUGAAAUCCUGCAGCUUAACUGUAGAACUGUUAUUGAUACUGGUUUUCUUGAAUGUAGUUGAGGUAGGCGGAAUAAGUAAUGUAGCGGUGAAAUGCUUAGAUAUUACUUAGAACACCGAUUGCGAAGGCAGCUUACUAAGCUAUGAUUGACGCUGAGGUACGAAAGCGUGGGGAGCGAACAGGAUUAGAUACCCGGGUAGUC
rnacentral:rRNA from 1 species